rnacentral:lncRNA from 1 species
UUUCAAUGCAUGUGCUUGAGGUUGGUUUCAUUUACCACUGCACCCUUUUUUCUGCAGCCUUUUAGAUGGCUACAACAUUGCUUCUAGCCAACUCUCGAGAUUUUUCUAGUGGCUCACUAUUGCGUACUUUCUUGACUACAGUCAAUACGGUGAGGUAACUAUAUUCGCUAUUUUCUAGCAUUUUUACCAGUUGAAGGGCCCUAAUUUGGAGAAUUCUUCGAGGUUCUACUAUUUC